AUUGAACGCUGGCGGCAUGCCUUACACAUGCAAGUCGAACGGCAGCACGGGAGCAAUCCUGGUGGCGAGUGGCGAACGGGUGAGUAAUAUAUCGGAACGUGCCCAGUCGUGGGGGAUAACGUAGCGAAAGCUACGCUAAUACCGCAUACGAUCUAUGGAUGAAAGCGGGGGAUCGCAAGACCUCGCGCGAUUGGAGCGGCCGAUAUCAGAUUAGGUAGUUGGUGGGGUAAAAGCCUACCAAGCCUUCGAUCUGUAGCUGGUCUGAGAGGACGACCAGCCACACUGGGACUGAGACACGGCCCAGACUCCUACGGGAGGCAGCAGUGGGGAAUAUUGGACAAUGGGCGCAAGCCUGAUCCAGCCAUGCCGCGUGAGUGAUGAAGGCCCUAGGGUUGUAAAGCUCUUUCACCGGUGAAGAUAAUGACGGUAACCGGAGAAGAAGCCCCGGCUAACUUCGUGCCAGCAGCCGCGGUAA
rnacentral:rRNA from 1 species